rnacentral:rRNA from 1 species
CCUACGGGAGGCUGCAGUCGAGAAUUAUUCACAAUGGGGGAAACCCUGAUGGUGCGACGCCGCGUGGGGGAAUGAAGGUCUUCGGAUUGUAAACCCCUGUCAUGUGGGAGCAAAUUAAAAAGAUAGUACCACAAGAGGAAGAGACGGCUAACUCUGUGCCAGCAGCCGCGGUAAUACAGAGGUCUCAAGCGUUGUUCGGAAUCACUGGGCGUAAGGCGUGCGUAGGCUGUUUCGUAAGUCGUGUGUGAAAGGCGCGGGCUCAACCCGCGGACGGCACAUGAUACUGCGAGACUAGAGUAAUGGAGGGGGAACCGGAAUUCUCGGGGUAGCAGUGAAAUGCGUAGAUAUCGAGAGGAACACUCGUGGCGAAGGCGGGUUCCUGGACAUUAACUGACGCUGAGGCACGAAGGCCAGGGGAGCGAAAGGGAUUAGAUACCCCAGUAGUC